rnacentral:lncRNA from 1 species
UCAGACUCGCAUCACAAAGCCCAGCUCUGUCACCCGACGGUUGAUGUAACUAUUAGAAGAGGUGGGGAGAUAUUUAUGCCCCUUUUCUGGGCCAUAAAGUGGGAACUUCUCAAGGCAGGCAUAGAGAUUAAAUGAGAACAAGGCCUGGCCCAGCAUAGUUGCCCAAUAUGUAUGUUUUCUCCUUCCCUUCCUUCUGCCAGCAAGUCUAACUGCAUGCUCAGCCUAAGCUGAGCUUAUCUGUGGCUUCCAUCAGGGCCUUGCCCUUCCCCCCCAUGGUUUUGCCCAGGGCCACCUGUACUGGAGAGAGAAAGGCCAGGCAUUUCUCCAGUAAUUACCAGCUUCUCAUGGCUGAGCCCUUCAGGCCAUUAAAAUGACAACCUAUUCUUGCUGAACCUAAUUCUUUGCUGAAUCCUUUGCCCUGACAUGAGAUGUGUUACCAGAUUAAGUAGGAAGGUAAGUACCAUAAGGAUCAGAACAUCUUGGGACCUGGCCCUCACACUCUCCCUGCAUUCCUACCGCAAGGACAGCCUCUGGCUGCUCUACUGGGUUUAUUCCACCAUACUAUAAGCCCCCUGAGGUCAGAAGCCUUGCUUCCUCGACCACCCAACCCUAACGUGAUGCCUGGCACAUAGUAGGUUCUUGGUAAGUUAUUUGCUGAAUGACUAAGGAGGACUAAAUCAUGGGCAGUAACUAGUUUCCAGUUAGUAUGGAGUUGGGGGCUGCUUCUGGUUAAUAGAGAAGUCUCAGCACUGAGCUCACGGACUGCCUAGAACUCAGAAGAAAAUCCUAAUUUCAGCUCUUCUUUCUGUCUGCUCCUGGUCCUGCCCCAGGGAGGGCAGAGACAUACAGAAAUAUGGAGGAGUGAAAAUGGCACCGAAUCAGGCAUCCAGACCUUUGAGUUCUAGGCUCAGGUCCAUGCUCAGUGACUUAAGUUCUAUGUGCCUUUGUUGCCUUAUCUCCAAAAAGUGCGGUGGCUCACGCCUGUAAUCCCAGCACUUUGGGAGGCCGAGGUGGGCAGAUUGCUUGAGCCCAGGAGUUCGAGACCAGGCUGGGCAACAAGGUAAAACCCCAUCUCUACAAAAAUAAAAAACUAGCCGGGCAUGCUGGUACGUGCCCAUCGUCCCAGCUACUCGGGAGGCUGAAGUGGCAGAAUCUUUUUGAGCCCGGGAGGUCAAGGCUGCAGUGAGCUAUGAUCACGCCACUGCACUCCAGUCUGGGCGACAGAGUGAGACCCUGUCUCAAAAAAAGAAACAACUCUGCACGAACUUCCCACACACUAGGCGUGGUGGAUAUAGGGGUACAGCGCUGAGUAAAGUGGAUUAUAGGGGCAUGGUGCUGAGUCACGUGGAUAUAGGGGUACGCAGCUGAGUCACGUGGAUAUAGGGGUACGGAGCUGAGUCACGUGGAUAUAGGGGUACGGAGCUGAGUCACAUGGAUAUAGGGGUAAAGCUCUGAGUCAUGUAGAUAUAGGGGUACAGCGCUGAGUAAUGUGGAUUAUAGGGGUACGGCACUGAGUAAUGUGGAUAUAGGGGUACGGCACUGAGUCAUGUGGAUAUAGGGGUACGGAGCUGAGUCGUGGAUUAUAGGGGUACGGCACUGAGUCAUGUGGAUAUGGGGGUACGGAGCUGAGUCAUGUGGAUAUAGGGGCACAGAGCUGAGUCAUGUGGAUAUAGGGGUACGGAGCUGAGUCAUGUGGAUAUAGGGGUACGGAGCUGAAUCACACUGGGGCUCUGUCCUCAGAAUGUCUGAGGUCCAGUGUAAGAGGCUGAUAGGAAGUUCAUGGUAAGAGCCCACUGUGAUAUGAGCACAGCCAUGGAGCAGGGAAAGUGCAUCUAUAGCUCACUGCUGGCCCAACAGUUAAUGAAGGCUCCCAAGAGGGGCCUGACUGAGCUGAAUAUUGAAGCAAUACGAGGUGGAUUAAUUCAACGGAGGAAGAAGCGUCAUUCCAGGCAAAAGAAACAGCUUGUGUGAAGGCACUGCAGACAUAACGCAGUGAGAGGGAGGCUGGACAGGAGGUGCACAUGGGAGGAGAUGGGAAAGGUACAGGCCUAAGAGGAGAGAGGCCACAGAAGGGCCUCGUGUGGCACGCAGCAGAGGAGCUGGCACUCAGUCCUUAUAGAUCAGGGGAGCCCCUGAGGAGGCUUAAAUGGGGGAUGCCUUGAUCAUCUUUAAGAAAGAGCUUGGCCAGGUGCAGUGGCUCACGCAUGCAAUCCUGGCACUUUGGGAGGACGAGGUGGGCGGAUCACAAGGUCAGGAUUUCGAGACCAGCCUGACCAACAUAGUGAAACCCCAUCUCUACUAAGAAUACAAAAAUUAGCUGGGUGUAGUGGCACGUGCCUGUAAUCCCCAGCUACUUGGGAGGCUGAGGCAGGAGAAUCACUUGAACCCAGGAAGUGGAGGUUGCAGUGAGCCGAGAUCGUGCCACGAGGUUGCAGUGAGCCGAGAUCGCGCCACUGUACUCCAGCCUGGGCAAAAAGAGCAAGACUCCAUCUCAAAAAAAAAAAAGAAAAAAGAAAAAGAAAGACGGCUCCCAGCAGUGUGGAGGAGGGAUUGGAGGGAGGGAGUACAGUUAGGAUCCUUCAGUAAUCCAAGUGAGAAAUGACAGCCUAGGCCACAGGAAGAGUACUAGGGACAGAUAAGAGGGAAGGGAAGGGAGAGAAUGAGGGAGGCAGAGGUCCCAGGACCUGCAGGCGGGUUAGGAGGAGGGAAGGGAGGAUGGAGUGUGGGCGGCUGCUCGGAUGCUGACUCUGCGUGUAGCUGGUGGUGCCGUUCCCUCGGAGAACUGGAAGCAGCAUGGGAGGGGAAGGUGAAACACUCUGCAAAGCUGCCUGGAGUAGACGUGCAGGUUUGACGGUCUAAGUAACUGUCGGAUUUGGAGUGAGAGGAGCCAAUGGGAAGGGGUUUGUGGAGGCAAAACGGGGUUCUCAAGGCAAUUAAGAAGGAAUGGGCAGAGGCAAAAAGGGAAGCAGGAUAAAGCCCAGCGAGGGUUUCAUGGAGGACCCCACGGUCCACAGUAUCCAGAGUGACAAAGCCUAGGUAAGAACUGGAUGUGACCGCGGAAUGUGCCAAUGCAGAAUUUCUCCUGAUUUUUAGAGCAAAUGGAGCUGAAAAGCAAAGCUAGUGAGUAUAAGCCAAAACUGGAGUUGAGGGAGUGUUUAUGAUGUGAGAGAAGUGAGCUGUUUGAUGCAUACCUGGGGGAAAAUCCAGGAGACGGGGAGAGGUUAAAGGUACAAGAGGGGCAGGUGAGGAGG